CGCAUCGAUGAAGAAUGUAGCAAAAUGCGAUACGUAGUGUGAAUUGCAGGAUCCCGUGAACCAUCGAGUUUUUGAACGCAAGUUGCGCCCGAAGCCUUUAGACCGAGGGCACGCCUGCCUGGGCGUCACGCACCGUUGACCCCCCAAACCUCCUCGAGAUGUUUGUGGGGGCGUAAAGUGGCUUCCCGUCGGUCUUUGUCCCGCGGUUGGCCUAAAAUUGAAUCCCUAGCCGCGGUGCGCGCGGCAUUCGGUGGUCAACGAUAGCUUUCGUUACCCCGUCGUGCGCUCCCGCGUUGCAAAGGAUGUCACCGAUGUAACCUGAUGCCUAGCUCUGCGAAGAGCGCAGCUUACAACGCGACCCCUGGUCAGGCGGGGCUACCCGCUGAA
rnacentral:rRNA from 1 species